rnacentral:rRNA from 2 species
UUAAACUGAAGAGUUUGAUCAUGGCUCAGAUUGAACGCUGGCGGCAGGCCUAACACAUGCAAGUCGAGCGGUAACAGGGGUAGCUUGCUACCCGCUGACGAGCGGCGGACGGGUGAGUA